CAGUUCGGAUUGUAGUCUGCAACCCGACUACAUGAAGCUGGAAUCGCUAGUAAUCGCGAAUCAGAAUGUCGCGGUGAAUACGUUCCCGGGUCUUGUACACACCGCCCGUCACACCAUGGGAGUCGGAAAUGCCCGAAGUCAGUGACCCAACCGUAAGGAGGGAGCUGCCGAAGGUGGAGCCGGUAACUGGGGUGAAGUCGUAACAAGGUACC
rnacentral:rRNA from 1 species